UGUUUUCAGGGCUAUCAAUGACGUUGU
rnacentral:piRNA from 1 species